rnacentral:lncRNA from 1 species
AUGCCCGUGGAGACACGGGAGCAUGCGUUCCAGUCGCGAGUCAAUGAUACUGUGUUUUCAAGCAUUGGAAGCGGUGGGAUUUCUGAAUCCCGCUGGGCUGGUAUCAGGGCAUGGAAUUGGAGAUUUAGAAGGAAUCGCUCUUACCAAUCCGUUUUAAGCGGAGCACGUGCAGUGGGUCACGGGAGACUUCAUCCUAAGAACAGUCCGGAGACAAAAGCAAACUUUGAAGCAGGCUUAGCGUUUAGAGACCCUGAAAAUAAUAACACCCUGCAUCUCCAUGGGAUCACGCUUAUACAUGAGGCUCGCUCGUCCCUGCCUGGUCCAGACGCAACCUCAGCCCAGAGGGGAUACGACGCUGCCGGCCAACUGCUUCGCCGUCCGCUCGGAUCUCGCUCCCUCCCUGUUGCAGGAUGCGCGGCCCCGCCAGCCCCUUACCCAGCUCCGCGCGGAGCCAUGGGAAGGGGUCUCGGCCCCUCGGAAACAAGAAGACUGGACGGGGAAGCCCUAGCCGAGGGCUCUCCAGGAAGGCCUCGCUAGACAGCCC